rnacentral:rRNA from 1 species
GAUAAACGCUGGCGGCGUGCCUAAUACAUGCAAGUCGAGCGAACGGACGAGAAGCUUGCUUCUCUGAUGUUAGCGGCGGACGGGUGAGUAACACGUGGAUAACCUACCUAUAAGACUGGGAUAACUUCGGGAAACCGGAGCUAAUACCGGAUAAUAUUUUGAACCGCAUGGUUCAAAAGUGAAAGACGGUCUUGCUGUCACUUAUAGAUGGAUCCGCGCUGCAUUAGCUAGUUGGUAAGGUAACGGCUUACCAAGGCAACGAUGCAUAGCCGACCUGAGAGGGUGAUCGGCCACACUGGAACUGAGACACGGUCCAGACUCCUACGGGAGGCAGCAGUAGGGAAUCUUCCGCAAUGGGCGAAAGCCUGACGGAGCAACGCCGCGUGAGUGAUGAAGGUCUUCGGAUCGUAAAACUCUGUUAUUAGGGAAGAACAUAUGUGUAAGUAACUGUGCACAUCUUGACGGUACCUAAUCAGAAAGCCACGGCUAACUACGUGCCAGCAGCCGCGGUAAUACGUAGGUGGCAAGCGUUAUCCGGAAUUAUUGGGCGUAAAGCGCGCGUAGGCGGUUUUUUAAGUCUGAUGUGAAAGCCCACGGCUCAACCGUGGAGGGUCAUUGGAAACUGGAAAACUUGAGUGCAGAAGAGGAAAGUGGAAUUCCAUGUGUAGCGGUGAAAUGCGCAGAGAUAUGGAGGAACACCAGUGGCGAAGGCGACUUUCUGGUCUGUAACUGACGCUGAUGUGCGAAAGCGUGGGGAUCAAACAGGAUUAGAUACCCUGGUAGUCCACGCCGUAAACGAUGAGUGCUAAGUGUUAGGGGGUUUCCGCCCCUAGUGCUGCAGCUAACGCAGUAAGCAGUCCGCCUGGGGAGUACGACCGCGAGGCUGAAACUCAAAGGAAUUGACGGGGACCCGCACAAGCGGUGGAGCAUGUGGUUUAAUUCGAAGCAACGCGAAGAACCUUACCAAAUCUUGACAUCCUUUGACAACUCUAGAGAUAGAGCCUUCCCCUUCGGGGGACAAAGUGACAGGUGGUGCAUGGUUGUCGUCAGCUCGUGUCGUGAGAUGUUGGGUUAAGUCCCGCAACGAGCGCAACCCUUAAGCUUAGUUGCCAUCAUUAAGUUGGGCACUCUAAGUUGACUGCCGGUGACAAACCGGAGGAAGGUGGGGAUGACGUCAAAUCAUCAUGCCCCUUAUGAUUUGGGCUACACACGUGCUACAAUGGACAAUACAAAGGGCAGCGAAACCGCGAGGUCAAGCAAAUCCCAUAAAGUUGUUCUCAGUUCGGAUUGUAGUCUGCAACUCGACUACAUGAAGCUGGAAUCGCUAGUAAUCGUAGAUCAGCAUGCUACGGUGAAUACGUUCCCGGGUCU